rnacentral:sRNA from 1 species
AAUUAGUAAGCGCGUUAGGGAUUGAAGCGACAUCCUUUUUUGAAGUAUGAGAAAAAGAUAAAGCGUAAAGCCUGACACCGA